rnacentral:rRNA from 1 species
AUGAAUUGCUUAAGUUGGAACUGCCGGGGGGCGGGGAAUCGCCGGACAGUUCGUGAGGUGUUGGCCCUUGCAAAAGCCAACUUCCCCAAGUUUGUCUUUCUUUCAGAGACGAGGGAAACUAAAGAAAAGAUGGAGAAGCUUAAAUGGAGACUAGGACUAAAGAGUUUCAGUGGUGUUAGUAGUAAUGGUAGAUGUGGAGGUUUGGCCUUAUUU